AGAGUUUGAUCAUGGCUCAGAUUGAACGCUGGCGGCAGGCCUAACACAUGCAAGUCGAACGGUAACAGGAAGCAGCUUGCUGCUUUGCUGACGAGUGGCGGACGGGUGAGUAAUGUCUGGGAAACUGCCUGAUGGAGGGGGAUAACUACUGGAAACGGUAGCUAAUACCGCAUAACGUCGCAAGACCAAAGAGGGGGACCUUAGGGCCUCUUGCCAUCGGAUGUGCCCAGAUGGGAUUAGCUAGUAGGUGGGGUAAAGGCUCACCUAGGCGACGAUCCCUAGCUGGUCUGAGAGGAUGACCAGCCACACUGGAACUGAGACACGGUCCAGACUCCUACGGGAGGCAGCAGUGGGGAAUAUUGCACAAUGGGCGCAAGCCUGAUGCAGCCAUGCCGCGUGUAUGAAGAAGGCCUUCGGGUUGUAAAGUACUUUCAGCGGGGAGGAAGGGAGUAAAGUUAAUACCUUUGCUCAUUGACGUUACCCGCAGAAGAAGCACCGGCUAACUCCGUGCCAGCAGCCGCGGUAAUACGGAGGGUGCAAGCGUUAAUCGGAAUUACUGGGCGUAAAGCGCACGCAGGCGGUUUGUUAAGUCAGAUGUGAAAUCCCCGGGCUCAACCUGGGAACUGCAUCUGAUACUGGCAAGCUUGAGUCUCGUAGGGGGGGGGUAGAAUUCCAGGUGUAGCGGUGAAAUGCGUAGAGAUCUGGAGGAAUACCGGUGGCGAAGGCGGCCCCCUGGACGAAGACUGACGCUCAGGUGCGAAAGCGUGGGGAGCAAACAGGAUUAGAGACCCUGGUAGUCC
rnacentral:rRNA from 1 species